rnacentral:lncRNA from 1 species
CUAUUUGCUCUUUAUUGUUCUCUUAACAUGUUUUUUUUUUUAAUUAGUACUAGUGAAUCUUUUUUUGUGUGUUCAUUUCCUUGUGAUCAGUUAUUUUAAGAAUUCACUCAAGGAAAACAGAGCAGAUUUGUUUGGCCCUUUUAAAAAGAGUAAGCUGCAAUGGACAUUAGGCUAAGUAAAUCAAAAUUCUUUUCCAUUUCUACAGUCAUGAAAAUUAUUGAAGACUCUCUCUACAUGGUCGGUUCCUUGUGGUUGCUUUGAGAAUGCUUCCACACAUUAAUUCCUAUCUCAUUCUUGACACGUUGUUAUGUUUUCUUUUAAAAGGAGCUUAAAAAUAAGAUGUCAGAAAACAUGGAGAAAAUGCACUUGAAAUUCACAAUUGCUAAGCCUUUCAGAUUUCUAAAUGAGAAAGCCAAAAAACGUGACCUGUUUCGAAGAGGUAUCAUCUGAAAAAAUAAAAAUAAAAAAGCAUUAGUAACAGCAACAGAUACAACUGACAACCAUCUGACAUCUUUAAAUGUCAGGUACAUCACACAUCACAAAUAACAUCUUCAUAAUCAAACCUCUUUUAAAAUAUAUUUUAUGUAAAUACAUUUUGGUGAAACCACAAGCUGUUUCUCUCAGUUUUGUUUUCAGCUGGCUUUGAUGAAGAGAUUGCCAUCCUACAUCCAAUUCGAUAGCUUUCAGCCCAAAGUCAAUGAAAUGGUUCAGUGUUAUUCUCUGAAAGUUGCUCACUCUGCCUAGUAGCAUUCAACAUGGCAGGUUGGAAACAAAUUAUUUAUUACUCGAGCAAAUUGUCAAAGUGAUAUGAAAAAAGGUGGUAGUAGGUACAAUGUCUGAUCAUUUAAUCAGCUGGCCACUAUUCCCCAUUUGUGUGGUCAGUAGGGUUUCAUGCCCUAGAAAAAUUGCAAUUGAAUGUUAAUAAUAUUCUUUUGAUUUUACAUAUUUCACAUGUCUCUUAACAUCUUUCAUGUGCUAUAAGUAUUCAUACUUAUUAAAUAUCCUAUUUGUUAGUUAAAUUUUUUUUCUUCCCUUUAUGAAGAAUAAAAAUUCAGAGUCCAUUGUUAGAGCAUUAAUUUUGAAUAAUAUUAGGAAUUCUUUCUACUUCUUUUGAUUUUUCUCUCUAGCAGUGAUGCCCAUAGCUUUCUGAGGAAAAAUUAUUUGAUUAUACACAUGAACCUCUCUGAGACUCGGAUGUUAGAUUUUAUGUUCAGUUAUGUUAUCUAAAUUCCACAGGGAGAGUAGUCUUUGGCCAUUGGUAGGGGUAAGGGGAUGGUACCAACCACUUUGUGACACUUGGAAGUAUUUCUAACCUAAGCAGAUAUGUUUACAGGUUGUAGUGUCAACAAAUGUGCUUAUGAGGGAUAAAAAGAAGAAAAAGUUAGGUUGCAUAUGGAACAAUUUUGCAGAAAAAUAUUAAUUUUAAGAUGAGUAAGACUCGGCUUGAGUUCAUCGAGUUGCAGAAUGCUGGAGUGGGUGUUUUAAUGCUUUGUUUGAACACAUCUUCAAUGAAAAUUUUUCUGUUGUGCCUCCUGCACUUCUCAGUAAUUCCCAGGGUUACAGAUGUCAUUAAGAGAGAAGUUGACUCUAUUUAAUCCUCCUAGAUUGACCUUUUCAGUUGUGGUAAAUUGUGUUAAAAGAAAAAAAAAAGAUAUAAAUGCUCUGAAGAAAGUGCUUCAAGACUGUGUCGUGUUUCACUCUUUCCAGAUGACUAAAAUUAAAAUGAUUUCCUAAAUCGAGUCAGUAGGUUUUACGGUGUUUCUUAAGUGAAUGGUAACUUUUAGAAGAGACUCUCAAAGUAUCCUCUCAAUAUGAGAUGAGAAUUUAGGUGAGACUUGUGGGUAGCAGUGCUAAUCCUGAGAGUGAUUAAUAAAAGUCAAAGAGCCGAUGACUGGAGCCGUUCAUGAACUGCGCCAUAAUUAGACGCAGGAGUCAGGCUUUCAGAGGGUUUACAUAGUAUCCCCUCUGCUUCUAUUUUACCUGAGACAAAGCUCCUUGUUCUGAUAAAUCACAAUACUGAGAGGUUUCAACAGAAUUAAGAUGCAAAUAUGUGAGUGAAUUCCAUUGCAAAUCACAUUUCAGGCUAAGGGUGCUAAUGUCAGAGCACACUGUCUCAAAUAAAGAAGAAAUUUAUUUGUUUGUUUGCAACAUUAGAUGGAGUACAAUGUGAAAUACUAAUCUCACUAAGAUUCCUUCAAACUGGCAUUAAGUAUGUCAAUUCUUCUUAGUAACUUUUAUAUUUGUAAUGAUAAAUUUUUAAUCAUUUAAAUAAUAAGCAUUCUUUGCAUCACUGAAUGCCUACUGUGGGGUUUGCUAUGAUCUCAGCAUGUGGUUUUUGCCAUUUAAUUACUUGUGCAUUUUUGAUCUAGAAAUCCACUUACUGAAUAAAAUUAUAACAUAUUACCACUAGUGUGCUACUAUGGUCUUUCUUUACCAUUUUCAGAUUUUUAAAAUGAUAGCUUAAGAGAUUGCAUAUUCCUGCAAAGGAUGUAUGUGUGUGCAUAUAAGGGAAAGGGAGUUAACUAUUUUUUAAGGAAUGGAACUCUAAAAAUACUGAAAACAAUAAAGCUAAAUAUAAUGCAUUGUUGUUAUUUUUUUUAAAGCAGAGUAUAUAUAUUUUAAGGUUUAAUUUAAUAUAUUAAAGCACUAAAGAGUGUUUCUUUAUAAUUCUAUCUAUCCAUAUUUCUUGUAAAACUUUUUUUUUUUUGCAACAUCAGUAAAUUUUACUGAUCAAAAUAUUGUCUGAAAUUUUCAGAAAUUUCUCCAGACUGUUUUUGAAGACUCCUAUCCCUUUUAAAGAGUUGUUUGGGCUUUUGAGAAGCUAAUUGAUUGCGAGUAGUUCAGUGUUAUCAGGAAAAGAAGCGUCAGUGAAUGGUUUCAGAAUGUGUCAUGUUCUUGGUUCAAUCUGAGCUGGGGGUGUAUGUGUGGGCAUCUUGGUAUUUGAGGAGACUGAAAAAGUUACUAUUGGACACAUAUAUGUUGUGCUUUUGAAUUAAAUGUGAAGAGGAGAAUUUCAGAUAGAGAGGUUUUGUUUUGUUUUAUUUUUUCAUCUCCCCCUGCCCUCUUCUGCCUUCAUUUCCUAGGAAAAUUCUUUCUGGAUUGCUAGGGCAUGAUUCACACAACAAUUUUCACACAAGUUCUCUUCCAGUCUUCUGGCCCUUAAAUUGAUACAACAAUUAAAUUAGUGAAUUAGAUUAUUUGGUCACUUAAGUUUUCUACAAGCAGGCAUUUUAUUAUUGCGAUUUUUGCAUUUUGAAAUAUUAUAUUAAUUUAAUUCGCAUGUUGGUGUUUUAACUUGUUUCUUUUUUAAUGAGCAAAUUUUUGUGGUAUUGGACUGUUGUUUGGUUUCGAUAUUAAUAUAUAAAAUAAAGUAUGUAGGUGUUUUUAUUUUUGUGACAAGUAGAUAAUUAACAGAUUGGGGUAAGAAUCUCGAUUUGUUGUAAGUGAAUUGAAUCCUUGAUAGUCAUGAUAUUACUCUUUGAUAUUUUUUUUUUAUCAUUAAAGGUAACAAUUGCAUAUUGUAUAAUGAAAAGCUAGUUUCCCCUCGGGUCAGAACUGACAAAUGCUGUGUAGGCAGUUUCAAAUCGAAUCAGUUGGUUAAACAUUAAUUAUUCUGGUUCAAGGGAAGUUGGAUCACAGUUGUUUUAUAAUUGGAGUUUACUAGAGUAUUUAUCAGCCCUCUACCUUUUUUUAUCCACUAAAAAGGGUUAAUUUUGUACCUGAUAUGUACCAGUUCUGUUUGUAUUGUGGCUUUUGUGCAGUCUCUCAGUCAAGUGCAGUUGGUAGCUGAAAUGUUGAAAGUAGUUUGGGAACAAAAUGUUUGCUUCAGCCAUGACAGAAUUGGCCACAAUUUGCCGAUUGCACUGAUAACAAAAGUCAGCAACAUAAAAUAGGUAGAAAAACAGCUCAUUCGAUGAUGAGACCACUGAAGAUUUGUAUGUAUAUGUGUAUUUUUUUCUAGUGUUUGUGUUUUGAUGGAAGCAAUGGUUUGAAAAAAAAAAUCCUCAUUAACCAUUGUUUUGACAUUAACCAUUUCACUUGGGGAAUUUGCUUUACACAAAAUUCUGAAAGUAUGUCAUGACACCAACUAUAAAACUGACUUAAACCCACUUUUUCGUACCUGAAUAUAUCCAUUGAAUUUUUAUUCAGCCAUUCAUUUCCUGAAACUACUAAUUCUAUCUUUUGAACUAAUAUCUAAAUUAGUUUCAGGAUGAAAUGAUAGGAGAACUUGAACAGUAGUUAAAAUCUGUAUCUUUCUAUAUUACAUUUGACCCAAGGAAAAAUCUAUUUUGAAUUCCUGAAUAUGCUCAUGUCUAGAAUAUUAUGUUUAUAUUUAAGAAAGAUCAGUAAAAUAUUUCAUGUUGAUAGAAGGAGACCACGAUGUUUUGUCCCAAGAUUACAUUGUUUUAACUUCUGAUUCCCUGUGACUUGGGACAUAUGGAGUUAUAUUUAAAAAAAAAAAAUCAACUUCUUUCGAGCAGCAAUUUGGGUAAGGUUCAUGUUAAACUUAUCGAAUCUUUUGUUUUCAUAAAUAAAUACAAAUAACUCAAACAGAAACUUGGUGGCUUUGGUGAUAAUAAAAUAGCAGCCAAGGGGAAAUUUUCUUCAUUAAAAUGUUCUUUCACAACCCACAUUCAGUUUCGGUAGGAAAAUUAUUAACCUUUUCAACAGCAGCAAAUGUCUUUUGAAGUCCAAGCAUGCUAAAAUAUGGGCUCAGAAUCUACUCAGGACUCUGAUCUGUAGCUUUGGGUUAUGUCUCAAAACUCUGGGGUACAGUUUUCCCUCCCAAAGUUUUCUUUUUCAUUUUGACAGAAAUAACUUUUAAAUUUUAUCUUACUAGAUGACUUUUUAUCAAGAAAUAAAGUGAAAUCUUUUUUUCUUUAUUUUAUUUUGAGAAAAAAAAUCUCUUAAAUUGUUUGGCUUCUAUGAAAGAGGAAACAUACUUUAGUUUCACUGUUCUCCUUGCAAUUCUUAUGUGUAGUGUGUGUGUGUGUGUGUGUGUGUGUGUGUGUGUAUUUUUUCAUCUUUAAUCCAGUUGAACUACAUUUUAAGUAGACAGAUGGCUGACUGACGUUAUCUGUAGGUACCAACUCCUGCUGUGCUCCAUCUCUUAGCCCCUUUCAGUGCCCUUCAAACGAAAGAAAGCCAGUCUGACCAGUUAGAGCUUGUUUUGUGGGUAAAAUACUGCGUAGUCAUUUUGCUGGAUUUAUAGCCAGUGGAGGAGAGGUGUCUUCCCUUCUUCCCUGCUGCCCCUGCCUGUUGAAGUAGUGACAGAAAUAUCAAGUCUAAUUGUGGCAAAAGGUAUAGAAUUGAGGUGGAAAACGGGGACUAAGGGGGUGGAGUGGGUGGAAAACACGGGAGUCCUUUCGGUAGACAGAUUUCAUUUUCAUUACAUUUGUGAAGGUUAUCAACCUAUAACUGCUUAGAAGUUCCUCCCAGAAAUCUGAAGAAGAACCUCUCAAAUAAUUUUUCCACCUAAUCUGGUUCAUGCUGUACUUUAAAGUGGCUCAUUAGAGCAUUCAUCCACAUCCCUUGUAAGCAUCCCCUCUUGUCCCAACUCAACAAUCAUGCUCAGAAACUGAGGAAAGCCGAAUAUUCUUCUAAAAUAAUUUUGUGUCAUUCUAAUUCUAACACUUUUAGUGUGUCAUACUAUGGGUUUCAUAUUUCAUAUUUGCAACCUACUUCCUGUAUGAGGUUAGUUUUUUUUAUAAAUGAUAAACAAAACUAUUUUUAACCAUUUAGAUAUAUAUUUUAUAUAUCUAUAUUUUGUAGAUAUAUAUGUUGCCAGUAAGAAAAUUGAAUCCUGACAGUGACAUUUUUAGCAUUUCCUUUGUACUGUAUGUAAGGUUCUGAUUCAUCCAACAUCUGCUGGCUCCCAGAGCUGGAAACACAAUAGCAAAUGCACACAUAGUCUGCUCCAAACAUUAGUCCUUUCUUUACUGUUAGUGGUAGUUACUAAGAAUCAGAUUGAGGAAAAUCAUUUUCCCUUUUCAGUUUUCUUCUCUUCACUUUGUACCAGCAUUGAGGAGGGUGACUGCAGUAGAAAAACUGAAGGGUGGAAACUCAGCUGUCCCAUGUUUAAUGUCCCACAGAGUUUCAUUCCAGCAAUCAGUCUUUGUAGGAGUAUAUUAAAACGAUGACUCAAGCCAACAUUUCUUGACAGUGAAUCCCAGGGGUUUCUUGAAAUUUCUUAAUGGUUUUUGACCAGAGAUUAAAGCAUAUUCUCUCCCCUGCAGCUGGGGUCCUGGAAGAUAGGCCAUUUCAUUUGUGAAAUAAGUAGUAUUUUGUGAACUCUUGAUGAUAUUUAUAAAAGCAAGCUCAAUUCCAUGCCAAAGACAUGGAUAAAUCAGCAAACACUUAUUAAGCACCUACCAUGUACCAGGCACUAUGGCUACAGCAAAUACAAAGAAUGAAACAAUCUUACCAUGUAUUUUACAUACAUUGGAUAUGGUACUAGGAGAGAUACAAGCUCCAAAUAGGAUCCCUUAUCCUCAGGGAAAUUACAAUAUGGAAGGUAUGGACAUACAUUUGUACCUAUUACUGUGAAUUAUAAUUAAGUGCAAAACAAAGAUUUCUCUGAGUUUUGAGAGAGGAAACAUUAGUGAAUUGUGUAAGGGAUAAUCGGGAAACGUUUCAUAAAGGUGACAGUCUUUAAGUUGCAUUUUUAAGGUUAAGUAAAAAUUAAACAAGGCUAAUAUUCUUAACACUAAUAAAUGAGUGUGUUGUGGAUGUUAUUAUAGUCACAGAAAAUGGCAUGGACAAAGUACAGAGGCCAGAGAACAGAGCAAGUUUGGAGGAUAGAAAGAAUAGUCUGCUUUAGUUGAUCUAGAGAUUAUAUGGAGAUCUGUAGUGGAAAGAAGAUAGGGGAAACUGAGAUUUUGAAGGUUUUGAAUGCCACAAAAGAGAGUUGAACUUCACUUGGUAGAUACUGUGGAGUCAGAGAAAAAUUUUGAGUUGAGGAAUAACACAAUCAGAGCCAUAUGUGAGAAGGAUAAGUCUAUUAGUAGCAUGAAUUUUUGGAAGGGAGAAAUAGAGAUGAGAAGAUUCCAUUGAGCUGGAAAUUCUUAAUUGUUUUUAUAUUAUGUUCCCCUUUGACAGUUUGGUGAAACUUAUGGACCCCUUCUCAGAAUAAUAUUUUUAAAUGCAUAGAAUACAUAGAAUUACAAAGAAAACUAAUUAUACUGAAAUGCAGUUAUCAAAAUAUAUAAAAAAUUCAUAGAUCCAAAGUUAAAAAGGAUAAAAAUAGGUAGUCUAAUUGCUGUAGCAUUCUGCAAAUAAUUGGAAAUCAAAUAAACAUAUAUUUAUUAAUGCUCCUGUUAUGGAAGAAACAGAGUGGUAUAAGGCCCUUGCUCUCUAACUACUUAAAAUCUAGGCUUUGGUAUAUUGUGAAUCACUUAAGACUGUGAAUACUUAGGAUGCUUCAUUUUAGAUUAUAUUCUGCUCUCCUUAUAGUCUAUGGCUUGACUUAUCUUACAGAUGAAAGUCUUAUCAUUUAUAUAUGCUUUAUAAAGGGAAUAUUUUAAAAACUUGAUUAAUUAAACAUCCUUAAUUAAAUAUUGCACUACAGAGGGCAUAGAGUAUAUAGAGAGCUCUGAACGAUUAGUCAGGAAUGCUGAAUUUUAACUCUGUUAUUCACCAAAUCUGUGACUUCAGGUCACAGGCCCUGUCUGGGCCUCAUUUUAUUUAGCUAUAAAAUGAGAAAAUUAGACUCAGCGAUUCUUCUAGACUCAUGUCCAUCCUGAAGCUCUAUGGUUCCUAUAAACUGAAUCUCUGCUCCCUCUGCCACCUUUAAAAACCCAAACAAAACAGACAUUUGAAUCAGAAUUUUAGCUUUUUUCUUUUCCCUGGUUGUACUCAUAGGAGAACAUCCUGAAAAUAGGAUGUGAAAGGACAAAAGAAGUGAAGGAAGCAGCCUAAAAUAAUCCGAAGCAUGAGAAUUUCUUUGACAUCAUUUUAAGUAUUGAGUCAAGAGAAUAAAUUGCUAACUAGUCAUGGCUCAGAAUGAUGUUUUAUUAGGUGAGACUUCAUUGGCUCUGGCACACUUAGGACUCUUCUCCCUUUUGGGUAUAAUUUUUCUUCUCUGAAUCACUGACAUUUUUUUAUGUCAGAAUACACACACUAAGAUAAAGUCUCACAAUUGGAGGGAGGGUUAAUUCAUAUCAAGUUCAUGCAUGUGGAACUUUGUCAUCAAUCACAGAAUCAAAAAUCUCUUUUCCAUACCUAAUGAUGCACCAUUAUCUCAAUUAAAAUCAUAUAUUUGGAUAAACUAUGAUCUUCACUCAUGUAUGCUGUCCUAGACUCUUGGCACAGAUAAUCUAGAAAAGUUACUUAUAUUCUAAUGUUAUUCUACUGUUAAACUUAUUCUCUUCUGACAGAAUGGGAAUUGAAGCUUGCGUAAUAAUGAGUGGGUUGUUCAUUCCUAUGAUUGUCUAGAACUCUUUGUACAUGACAGAGGCUACAGAAACAUUUCUAAACAUUUUACUUUAGAAAAAGUCAGCCUAUGAUGAUAGUGAUAUGCUUGUAUAGCUAACAGUUAUCUGAUUUUAAAGUAUAGGGAACCCUUUUCAUACAAAGAAAGAAACUGAUGUGGUGCAAUGUGAGUUUUCUAUAUUUACUUAAAGAUGUUGCUCUUCAGGCAUUGAAGGUAAAUUGUUAAAAUUGUUAAAAUAUAGCACAACAUCCACAUGAAAUGCUGACUUUUUAAUGUUAAUACUGUAAAUGGUGGUGGGAAGUUAAAAGUCCUCUUUGAUUCUGAUGGGAUUUUGUAGCAUUAAAUACACAAAUUGAAGGUCAACUUUUUGGCAUCUUCACUGCAUUUGGAACCCCGAAUAUCACCUCCCUUCCUGUCCUGUUAACAUGUCUUUUGCAGUGAUAUGUGUCUGAGUAUCAGAUGUGACCUUUCUUAGCCCAUGGUGACAGUUUUCAAAAGAGAGGACCAUGUAACUUUGUACUUGUAUUUUUCUAUUUAACCCAUUCCAUUUUUGUCAUUGCAAAGAUUCUCUUAGUUGAGGCAGCUAGAUGGCCCAGUGGAUAGAGCACAGACCCUGAAGUCAGGAGGAUUUGAAUUCAAAUCUGGCCUCAGACACUUAAUACAACUUAGCUGUAUGACCUUGGGCAAGUCACUUAACUCCAAUUGCCUCAGCAAGAAAAAAGAAAAGAUUCUCUUGGUUUAGGAUGAUUAAGAAUAAUCUCCCUACUAAUGGCAUACAACAUGAAUCAAAACUAUAAUGAUAUAAAGAGAUAAAGGAAUUCUUAAUAGAAUUCAUAAUCUCCUUAUACUUAUAUCAAGUCCUGAUUUUGUUCUUCAGCACUUUUAUAUGUUUGUGGGCUCAUCUGAGAAUGGCUAUCGUAGUUUCUGCCAUCUUCCCUCCUUCUGAGUGUAAGACAAUGCUAUCUUCAUUGCUCUUGUUUUAUGUAAAAUUUCAGUGUUGGAAAGUCACUUCAUAAAACCUAUAAGUAAUUUUUAACAUUGGUCCAUCUUAUUUUAUAUUAUGUUAAUUUCUGAAUAUAUCUCUUUGCCCCAUAUCCCAGGUGCCAUCUUUUCCAAAUUUUUUUUCAAGGAUAAAAAAAGCAUUUUUGCAAAACUAGCACCUUGAUCAUGUUUCACAAUAUAUGUAAUAUUUCAUACACAUAGAACCAUUAUUAUCACCACACAUACUUCUCAAAGGAGAAAAAGUGUAUUUUCCUUUCAAUAGUACUUUAUUUUUUAAAAUAUAUAUAGUUUUCAACAUUUAUUUUUAUAAAAUUUUGAGUUCCAAAUUUUUUCUCCUUCCCUUCUUUAUCUCCCCCCUCCCCAAGACAGUAAGCAAUCUGAUAUGGAUUAUGAAUGUACAAUCAUGUUAAACAUAUUUCCAUACCUGUCAUAUUGUGCAAAAAAAAAAAUCAGACUAAAAGGGGGGAAAAACUAUGAGAAAAGAAAAGCAAAAAAAAAAAUAGUGAAAAUACUAUGCUUCAAUCUGCAAUCUCCAAAGUUUUCUCUGGAUGCAAAUGGCAUUUUCCAUCCUAAGUCUAUUGGAAUUGCCUUGGAUCACUGCAUUUCUGAAAAGAGCCAAAUCUAUUAUAGUUUUUUUUGUCACAUAAUCUUGCUGUUACUGUGUACAAUAUUCUCUUGGUUCUUCUCAUUUCACUCAGUAUCAAUUUUUGUCAAUCUUUCCAGGCUUUUCUGAAAUUAGCUUGCUUAUCAUCUCUUAUAGAACAAUAAUAUUCCAUUACAUUCAUAUACCAUGACCUAUUCAAGCAUUCUCCACUCAAUUUCCAAUUUCUUGCUACUACAAAAAGAGUUACAAACAUUUAUUUGUACAUGUGGGAUUUUUAUCCUCUUUUAUGAUCUCUUUAGGAUACAGACCCAAUAGUGACACUCCUGUACCAAAGGGUAUACACAAUUUUAUAACCUUUUGGGCUUAUUGGGUUCCAAAUUGCUCUCCAGAAUAGUUGAACCAUUUCACAACUCCACGUACAAUGUAUUAGUGCCCCACAUCUCUUUCAACAGUUAUCAUUCCUUUUCUUGUUAUUGAAGUAAAUCUGAUAGGUGUGAAGUGGUACGAGAGGUGCAUUUUCUUAGCUCUUCCUGACCCAACUUAGUAAUUGGAAUUACGUAGCAUUCUAGCUUAUUUUAUUUUUCUUUUGCAUAGAAACUGCUUAGAUGGUAAUCUAUAUCUCUCCUGUGACAUUCUGAUUUCUAUCUAUGUCUUAUAUUCCUUUAGACUAUAAUCACUUUGAAAUCACUUUCAAAGAAAGUGACACUUUCUUUGCACUUAUAAAUGAUUGUUUUUGGUUCUCAUCUAAAGCCUUAAUCUAAUAAAGCAGAUGAAAGAAAAUAUUAAUGGAAAUAUGGAAACCUGCCUGAAAAAAAGAAUAACAGAAUCCAUUUAGAUUUUUCAUUCUAAAUCAUUAUCACCCUAAUGAUACCAAAGACAAUGCAAUUUUGGAUCUUUAAAUUUCAGUUCUUUCUUUUGUUCUCUUUCCCCAGUUUUCACAGAAUCCAAAGCUUUAAUGGGAGAGGGGACCUCAGAGAGUCAUUUGUACUGUCCUAUUAUUUUACAGAUAAGAAAACUGGGACUUAAAUCUGUUCACUCAAGUUCUCCCAUGAUCAUACUAGUUUCCAUUUUUGUUCCUUAUAGCUGCCAAAUUUGUUGUAAAAAAACCUUCUUUUGAAACUAAGUUGCUUCUUACUGUGGUAUGUCAGAUCUCAGUUUUUGUGUAUUGGAGUUACUGUCUCUUAAUAUGUGGUUGGUAGUGAUCUGUGUUUUUCAUAAAUGUUUUUGUUUCAGAAUAAAUGGGAGAUGACACAGGAAGCUGCAUGUCACAGUUGAUCGAAAAUGACAUAGACAUUGAAAAUCAGGAUUUUGGCCCACCUCUGAGCUCCCUGUUGAAUGGCGAUCACAAUCAGGAGAAAUGCAAAUGAAAAAUGAAAAAAAGUUCCUGGGAUUGGAUCUAAUGAACUUACACUAUAAAGUGGCUGUUGUGAGGAUCAAAUGAGACCAUAAUUGCAAAGCACGUAGCACGAUGCCUGGCACAUAAUAAAAUGAAGAAACUGAGAUCCAAAGAGAUCAAAUGGCUUGUCCAAUGGGGUCAACUGUGAAGUGUCACCAUCAGAGCUUGUGCCAAGAUUUUUCUGAGUAUAAACCUAGCACACCAUCCACUAGAUCAUGCUACUUACUAUUUGGGACUUUGUUGUAGAGAGUAGAUAGAGGGGAGAAAAUUUUUAAAGUAAUUUAGACACAUGCAGAUUGGGUGAAUGGAUUAAAAGCAUUGAAGACCCCCUCCCAACCCAUACUAAAGAAAUAAAUAUGUUCAUCCUUUACCUCAUGAAGCAUACUCUGUUUUCCAAGGGAUGCUGGGACAUUGUGAAAUCUUUGCUUUGCUGUAGUUCCUCAUUUCAGGCACACACAGUAAUAAUUAAAGCUUCAAGUCAGUUAAAGUAUAAAUUAGUACUGGAGAGAGCCACUUACAAAAUGGAUCAUAGUUACAUGGAUGGGUCAAUCAUGUUCCCUUGUGGUAUAAUCCUAUGCUUUCAAUUACAUUGAAUUCAUGAUGAAGCAGAGAUAUUCUGUGAGAAUGAUGUGAGUCCUAUAGAUCACCAAUUCACUCCUAUGAUACCCCCAUCUCUGCUUGUUGAAAUCUCACCUUUCAGAAAAUUUCCUAAAUGUCACCUCCUUCAUGAAGCCUUUCCUGAUUUCUUAACCUCUCACCCCAUUUUGAAACUGAUUCUUUUUGAAAACAUUCGUUUGUACCUCUUUUAGGGGGUAUGUCCUACAUGUCUGCCUGACGUGGUGAAACGUAUGCUGCCUUGUAAAAUUUGUUUGUUGAGUUCCUACACAUUCAUUCCUCAUUCUGCUGCAAACACUUGGAGAGGAAGGAUUGCAUCUUGCUCAUUUCUCUGUCUCCUACAACACAUAUAAGGCACUCAAUACAUACUUUAAUAAUAAUCUAGUUACCAAAAGGCAAAAGUAGGACUAAUAGGGAGAAAUUUCAGAGAGACAACCCUUGGCUUGGGGGGGAGUGUUAAGUGGAGAAGUGGAUAUAACACUGAACUUAUAACUUACCUCUGUGAUCCCGGGAAAGUCACUUUAAAAAAGAAUCAGGAAGUCUUAACCUGAUGAGUUCAAAUCUAGCCUCAGACACUUUACUCACUGGGUGACCAUGGAGAAAUCACUUAACUCUGUGUCAGUUUCCUCAUCUAUAAAAUGAGCUGGGGAAGGAAAUGGCAAAUCAUUCUAGUAUCCGUGCCAAGAAAACCCCAAAUGGAGUCAUGGAGUGUCAGACACGAAAUAUCUCAGAAGCAAAUACCUUGGCUUGAUAUAAAAGAAAACUCCCUUGGCAUUAGAUCUUCCCCAAAGUAGAAUAGGCUACCUGAGGAGAUAGUGGGUACCUCUUCAUUGGGGGAUGUUCAUGUUCAGUUACCACUUGUUUGAGAUGUUGUACAGGGAAUUUUUGAUCAGGUACCAAGUACCCUUUUCCCCUUCCUUCUCUUUUUCUCACUCCCUUUCUUUUCCCCCUUCUCCCUCUCUCUCUCUCCUUCCCAGCCUCUCCUUACUUUCCUUCUCCCCCCUCCUAAUAAUUAUUUUCAGUAACUAAGAGAGAAUUUCCCUUAAUUGCUAUGAAAAUCUAUCUCCUCUUCCCUUACCAGCAACCCAGUUCAAGAAAGAGAUGUAUUUUGGCUGUACCUUAAGUGAAAAUGAUCCAGCAUGAAACAUUUUACUUUCACCUUUCCUUGUUUAUGCCUCCCUUGAAAAAGUCUUAUGACCUGCCCUACACCAGCUACUUCACUGUCCGAGAAAUACCAUCUAUCCUCAGUGUCUUUGCCAUGUGCUCCUUAUUAAUAGGCUGAGAUUUACUGCUGGUGCUUUCUGGAGAGUGCCUCGGUGAGGGUCGCUUUGUACAUCCUUCCUCAUUGGCUGCUAUGAAGCUGGGACUGGAUGUUACCAAGAUAUUCCUGUUUCUACAACCAAUAAACUCAUCCUAAGGAUUGUAAACAAGGUGUCUGUGGGGAAGUCUUUGGAGAGAUGAGAUGUGUCAAAGGAUCCAGCAUAUGCUGUAUAUAUUUCUCCUCUUCACAAGGCUAAGCCAACAGUACUAAUUUCCAACAUAUGUCACAAAAAUAAGAAGUUUGCUUGCUAUGUACAAAGCCCACUAAUACAGCACUAAAUUUUGUUCAGCCAUCAGUGGCAAAGCUGGACUUAAUAAUGAUCUUCAAAGUCUGUUAUAUGGUGAACUUCUUCACUGUGGUGCAACAGAGAACCUCAGUUCGCUUCCUUUGGCUUCCCUGAAUGAGGGGUGCCCAUAAUGUUACCUCCCUUUGUGAGGUGUAUUCAUUUUUCCUGGGAAUUAGAAGGAAAGACCUGAUGUAGUUCUUUAAGCAGUUCCAAGGAACUUUGGAUCCCAGUAAGGAUGCUCAUAGAAUUAGAGGAGAUAAGGGUCUUUGUUGUUGUUUAAUUGUUUGUGGUUGUGUCUCUUGCUUUGUGGACCCUAAUUGUGGUUUUCUUGGCCAUUCUGCUCUCUGGCUUCUUUUACAGAUGAGGAUACUGAGGCAAAAAAGGAUUAAGUAACUUGCCCCAGGAUCACCCAACUAGUAAGUGUCUGAGGCCAGAUUUAAACUCAGGAAGAUGAGUCUUCUUCACUUCAUGCCCAGUAUUCUAUCCACUGCCCCCCUUAGCUGCCCUGAAGAGGGGACUUAGAGAACAUUUAAUCCAAUUUCCUUACUGAUCAUACAAUUUUAUGAUUGUAAGAGAAUACCUGUUAUCUAACUGAACCUAUACUUCAAAAUAAUCCUUUUACAAUAAACACAGUAACUGGUCAUUUAACCAUUCUAGAAGAUCUUCAGGGGGAAAUUGUCUCCUGAAGUGGCCAAUUCUAUUUUUACAUAACUCCAAGUGUAAAUUAAUAAUGCUAAUGAUAUAAUAAUAAUAAAGAAGAAACAACAAGCCCUUUAAGGCUUACAAAGCACUUUCUACCAGGGGUCCUCAAACUAUGGCCCACGGGCCAGAUGCAGCAGCUGAGGACGUUUAUCCCCCUCACCCAGGGUUAGGAAGUUUCUUUAUUUAAAAGCCCACAAAACAAAAUUUUUGUUUUUUACUAUAGUCCGGCCCUCCAGCAGUCUGAGGGACAGUGAACUGGCCCCCUAUUUAAAAAGUUUGAGGACCCUGUAAAUCUCAACAUUAUCUAAUUUUAUCAUCACAACAUACAUGUGUGUAUGUGUUUGUGUGUGUGUGUGUGUGUGUGUGUGUGUGUGUGAGAGAGAGAGAGAGAGAGAGAGAGAGAGAGAGAGAGAAAACGAGAACAUUUGUGGAUAGAUAGAUAAAUGAAAGACCAUUUUAGAGGGCUAUGAAAAGAACCAUUCUAAUUCAUUCAGAUGAUAGUCUUCCAAAUAUUUGAAAACUACUAUCAUUUUUUCUUCUCUAGUCUAAAAAUUCAGAUUUUUAAGCCCAUUCUCAUGUGACUUGAAUCCAUUCUUGUUACCUUCCUCUAGACUGUGCCUAGGUUCUCCUUGUUAUCGCUAAAAUGUAGUGUCCAUAGCUCAACCCAAUAUUUCACAUUUAGUCUGAUUAGAGCUGAGUGUGGUAUGAUUAUUGCUUCCUUAUUCCUGGAAGAUACGCCUCUUAAAAAAAAAAAAGGAACCUGGAAGCAAAACAUUUUGUUUUUGAUCUCAUUUAGAAUCAAAUCAUUUGACAUAUUUAGCUCUUGUUUUAGUUUUGUUUUUAAUACAUUUUUAUUUUUUUUAGUUAUCAAACUUUUACUUUUAUAUCUUGCCAAUCACUAAAAAUCAAAGAAAGAGAAAUGAAGGAAGGAGGAGAAAAGGGUGAGAAAGAGGGAGCAAAAGAGGAUGGAAAGGAGGAAACAAAAAAACUACCCUUGUAUCCUAUAUGUCAUGCAAAACAAAUUCCCAUCUUGGCCAUGUCCAAAUAUGUUUCUUCUGCAUAUUAGUUCAUUAUCUUUCAUCAUGAGUGGGAAGUUUGUAUUUUUCAUUAGCCUUUUGGAAUCAUGUCUCACAAUAUAAUUUUUUCUUUUUUUAAUGACCAAAAAACUUUAAUUAAAAAAUUUUAUAAUAAUAUUUUAUUUUUCAAAACAACAUUCACCCUUGAAAAACUUUCCAAAUGUUUACCCUUUCUCCCUCCCUGCUACCCAGUUCCCUAGAUAGCAAGUAAUCCAAAAUAGAUUAAAUGUGCAAUUCUUCUAAACACAUUUCUACAUUUAUCAUGCUGCAAAAGAAAAAUCAGAUGAAAAGGGAGGAAAAUGAGAAAGAAAAAAACAAGCAUCAAACAACAAAGAUGAAAAUACUAUGAUCCACCUCUCAUAGUGGAUCAGUCCCCAAAGUCUUCUCUCUGGAUGCAGAUGACUCCUUCCAUCCUAAGACUACUGGAAUUCUUGAAUCAUCUUAUUGUUGAAAAGAGCUAGCUUCAUCAUGUAAUCUUCUAGUUGCUGUGUACAGUGUUCUCUUGGUUCUACUCACUUCACUUAACAUCAGUUCUGAAAUCAUCCUACUGAUUGUUUCUUAUAGGGCAAUACUAUUCCAUCACAUUCAUAUACAUAAUUUAUUCAGCCAUUCCCCAAUUUAUGGGAAUCUACUCACUUUCCAAUUCUUUUCCACCACAAAAAUAGCUACUACAAACAUUUUUUCACAUAUGGGUCCCUUUCCCUCCUUUAUGAUUUUCUUGGGAUACAGACCCUGUAGUAGCACUGCUGAAUCAAAGAGUAGGCACAGUUUUAUAGUCCUUUGGGUAUAGUUCCAAAUUGCUCUCCAGAAUGGUUGAAGCAGUUCACAACUCCACCAACAAUGUAUUAGUGUCCCAGUUUUCCCACAACCCAUCUAACAUUUAUCAUUAUCUUUUCUUGUCACAUUAGUCAAUUUGUGGGGUGUGGCAUGAUAUCUCAGAGUUGUCUUAAUUUGUAUUUCUCUGAUUAAUUGUAUUUAGAGUAUUUUUUCAUAUGAUUAGAAAUAGCUUCAAUUUCUUUAUCUGAAAAUUGUCUGUUUAUAUCCUUUGACCAUUUAUUAAUUGGAGAAUGACUUGUAUUCUUAUAAAUUUGAAUCAAUUCUAUAUGUAUAUUUAAAAUGAAGCUUUUAUCAACACUCUUAUAUGUAAAAUUUUCCCUCAGUUUUCUGCUUUUCUUCUAAUCUUGGCUGCAUUGGUUUUGUUUGCACAAAACUUUUAAAAUAUAAUAUAAUAAAAAUUAUCCAUUUUGCAUUUCAUAAUGUUCUCUAGUUCUUCUUUGGCCAUAAAUUCCUUCCUUCCCCACAGAUCUGAGAGGCAGACUAUUCCUUCUUCUCCUAAUUUGUUAAUAGUAUCAUCCUCUAUGUCUAAAAUCAUGAACUCAUUUUGAUCUUAUUUUAUUGUAGGGUGUUAGAUAUUGAUCAAUGCCUAAUUUCUGCCAUGCUGUUUUCUAAUUUUCCCAGCAUUUUUUGUCAAAGUGAGUUCUUAUCCAGAAGCUGAAGCUUUUAGGUUUAUCAAAUACUAGAUUAUUAUAGUUAUUAACUAGGUCUUGUGAACCUAACCUAUUCCACUGAUCUACUUCUCUAUUUCUCAGCCAAUACCAAAUGGUUUGAUGACCAAUGUUUUAUAGUAUAGUUUUAAGUCAGGUACAGUUAAGCCACCUUCAUUUUCAUUUUUUUCUUUUUCAUUAAUUCCCUUGAAAUUCUUGAUCUUUUGUUCUUCCAAAUGAACUUUGUUAUUAUUUUUUCUAGCUCUUUCUUUCCAUAUUUUCCCCAAUAGUUUGUAGUAUAGUUUUUAAUAGUUUGGAAUCAAUUGUUCUUUAAAUGUUUGGUAGAAUUCACUUGAAAAUUCAUCUGGCCUAGGAGAUUUUCUUCCUAAGGAGUUCAUUGAUAGCUUGUUCAAUAUGUUUUUCUAAAAUGGGACUAUUUAAGUAAUUUAUUUCCUUCUCUGUUAAUGUGGGAAAUCUAUAUUUUUGUAAGUAUUUAAUCAUUUCACUUAUAUUAUUAGAUUUAUUGGCAUAAGAUUGGGAAAAAUAGCUCCUAAUUAUUGCUUUAAUUUGCACUUCAUUGGUGUUAAAUUCACUAUUUUCAUUUUUGAUACGAG